GGUUCGAUUAUGGCUCAGAUUGAACGCUGGCGGGAUGCUUUACACAUGCAAGUCGAACGGCAGCACGGACUUGGUCUGGUGGCGAGUGGCGAACGGGUGAGUAAUGUAUCGGAACGUGCCUAGUAGCGGGGAUAACUACGCGAAAGCGUAGCUAAUACUGCACACACUCUUCGGGGAAAGUGGGGACCUUCGGGCCUCGCACUAUUAGAGCGGCCGGAUAUCGGAUUAGCUAGCUGGUGGGGUAAUCGGCUCACCGUCACCAUGACGAUCCGUAGCUGGUUUGAGAGGACGACCAGCCACACUGGGACUGGAGACACGGCCCAGACUCCUACGGGAGGCAGCAGUGGGGGAAUUUUGACAAUGGGGAACCCUGAUCCAGCCAUCCUGCGUGUGCGAUGAAGGCCUUCGGGUUGUAAAGCACUUUGGCAGGAAAAGAAACGGCACGGGAUAAUACCCGUGCAACUGACGGUACCUGCAGAAUAAGCACUCGGCUAACUACGUGCCAGCAGCCGCGGUAAUAUGUAGGGUGCAAGCGUUAUUAAUCGGAAUUAUUUAUAAGCGUGCGCAGGCGGUUCGGAAAGAAAGAUGUGAAAUCCAGAGCUUAACUUUGGAACCGGGCAUUUUUAACUACCGAGCUAGAGUGUGGUCAGAGGGAGGUGGGAAUUCCGCGUGUAGCAGUGAAAUGCGUAGAUAUGUGCGAGGAACACCGAUGGCGAAGGUAAGCCUCCUGGGGAUAACACUGACGCUCAUGCACGAAAGCGUGGCGUAAACAGAUUAGAUACCUCGUAGUCCACGCCCUAAACGAUGUCAACUAGCUGUUGGGGCCUUCGGGCCUGGUAGCGCAGCUAACGCGUGAAGUUGACCGCCUGGGGAGUACGUCAAGAUUAAAACCGUAUGAAUUGACGACCGUACAAGCGGUGGAUGAUGAUUAAUUCAGAUGCAACGCGAAAACCCUUACCUAUUCUUGACAUGUUGUCUGGAAUCCUGAAGGAGAUGGGAGUGCUCGUGGCAGAACCGAACACAGGUGCUGCAUGGCUGUCGUCAGCUCGUGUCGUGAGAUGUUGGGUUAAGUCCCGCAACGAGCGCAAACUUUGUCAUUAGUUGUUGCUGAAAGGGCAUCAAUGAGACUGCCAGUGACAAACUGAGGAAGGUGGGGAUGACGUCAAGUCCUCAUGGCCCUUAUGGGUAGGGCUUCACACGUCAUACAAUGGUCGGGACAGAGGGUCGCCAACCUGCGCGAGGGGGAGCCAAUCCAGAAACCCCAUCAGUCCGGAUCGCAGUCUGCAACUCGACUGCGUGAAGUCGGAAUCGCUAGUAAUCGCGGAUCAGCAUGUCGCGGUGAAUACGUUCCCGGGUCUUCAGGUACACACUGCCCGUCACACCAUGGAGUGGGUUUUACCAGAAGUAGUUAGCCUAACCGUAAGGAGGGCGAUUACCACGGUAGGAUUCAUGACUGGGGUGAAGUCGUAACAAGGUAG
rnacentral:rRNA from 1 species